UACGUAGGGUGCGAGCGUUAAUCGGAAUUACUGGGCGUAAAGCGUGCGCAGGCGGUUCGUUAUGUCCGUUGUGAAAGCCCCGGGCUCAACCUGGGAAUGGCAAUGGAAACUGGCGGGCUAGAGUGUGGCAGAGGGGGGUGGAAUUCCGCGUGUAGCAGUGAAAUGCGUAGAGAUGUGGAGGAACACCGAUGGCGAAGGCAGCCCCCUGGGUUAACACUGACGCUCAGGCACGAAAGCGUGGGGAUCAAACAGG
rnacentral:rRNA from 1 species